GACGAACGCUGGCGGCGUGCUUAACACAUGCAAGUCGAACGGAAAGGCCCUGCUUUUGUGGGGUGCUCGAGUGGCGAACGGGUGAGUAACACGUGAGUAACCUGCCCUUGCCUUUGGGAUAACUUCAGGCAACUGGGGCUAAUACCGGCUAGGAGCUCCUGCUGCAUGGUGGGGGUUGGAAAGUUUCGGCGGUUGGGGAUGGACUCGCGGCUUAUCAGCUUGUUGGUGGGGUAGUGGCUUACCAAGGCUUUGACGGGUAGCCGGCCUGAGAGGGUGACCGGCCACAUUGGGACUGAGAUGCGGCCCAGACUCCUACGGGAGGCAGCAGUGGGGAAUAUUGCACAAUGGGCGGAAGCCUGAUGCAGCAACGCCGCGUGCGGGAUGACGGCCUUCGGGUUGUAAACCGCUUUCGCCUGUGACGAAGCGUGAGUGACGGUAAUGGGUAAAGAAGCACCGGCUAACUACGUG
rnacentral:rRNA from 1 species